CUGCUAUCGGGGUCCGACUAAGCCAUGCGAGUCAAGGGGCGCCUCGCGCGCACCGGCGCACGGCUCGGUAACACGUCGGCAACCUACCCUCGGGAGGGGGACAACCCCGGGAAACUGGGGCUAAUCCCCCAUAGGCGUGGGGUACUGGAAAGUCCCCACGCCGAAAGCUCCGGCGCCCGAGGAUGGGCCGGCGGCCGAUUAGGUAGUUGGUGGGGUAACGGCCCACCAAGCCUACGAUCGGUACAGGCUGUGAGAGCAGGAGCCCGGAGAUGGACACUGAGACACGGGUCCAGGCCCUACGGGGCGCAGCAGGCGCGAAACCUCCGCAAUGCGGGAAACCGCGACGGGGGGACCCGAGUGCCGUGGCAAAGCCACGGCUUUUCCGGAGUGUAAGAAGCUCCGGGAAUAAGGGCUGGGCAAGGCCGGUGGCAGCCGCCGCGGUGAUACCGGCGGCCCAAGUGGUGGCCACUAUUAUUGGGCCUAAAGCGUCCGUAGCCGGGCCUGUAAGUCCCUGGCGAAAUCCCACGGCCCAACCGUGGGGCUUGCUAGGGAUACUGCAGGCCUUGGGACCGGGAGAGGCCGGGGGUACCCCUGGGGUAGGGGUGAAAUCCUAUAAUCCCAGGGGGACCGCCGGUGGCGAAGGCGCCCGGCUGGAACGGGUCCGACGGUGAGGGACGAAGGCCAGGGGAGCGAACCGGAUUAGAUACCCGGGUAGUCCUGGCUGUAAAGGAUGCGGGCUAGGUGUCGGGCGAGCCCCGAGCUCACCCGGUGCCGUAGGGAAGCCGUUAAGCCCGCCGCCUGGGGAGUACGGCCGCAAGGCUGAAACUUAAAGGAAUUGGCGGGGGAGCAC
rnacentral:rRNA from 1 species